GGGAGAGAUGAGAUGGACGACUGAGCAAAAACACACCCCGGGACUGUUUUCUCCGUAACAGAUGGGCGCUGGGGACGGCAUGGAAAUUCCAGGAUGGAGCGACAUCCCAGUCCCUUGUGAUGCUCCCUCGCGCCUCUGACCUUUGUGCCGGAUCAAGUAGUGACCGAGGAAGAUGAGCAGGAUGAGCAGCAAGAAGACGAUGAAAGCCACGAUCCCCCCGAUGAUGGCGUGAUUGGAAAGGAGCAGUGAAAAAAUGCUGGAGACAGGAAUAGGCACGUGAACUGUGCAUAGAUGGUGGACUGCGAUUCCCUGUAUAAAGAAAAGUGUUCCUUCUUGUCAGGGAGCUUAGAGUUCCAGCAAGACCCAAUCUUCCUUUCACCAGAGAGGUCUGGGGUUCCAUCUUCACUUCCCCACCAGCCAAAGGUUUGUGGGAAGGACAAAGACUGAAUUUCUUCCUCCCAGUUCUGAUGGCCUCUGUCAUCAGAUACAGAGACUCUGUCCUCCACAGCAGUGUCUAUAGGGGACAGAUUCCCAAGCACAGGCUUGGCCAGGCAUGCCGAGGAGAGCCGCAGUCACAGUCAGAGUCCCACAGAUCUGAAGAGACAGUGCCCAUGCCUGGGACACAGUUCUGACAUGUCCAAAAUUAUACGAGCUGCAGUUAAGGCUCUCCCACCCAUGGGAGAGCUACUAUUUUUUUUUUUUUUAAAUAGAAUCAG